CCUCGCAAGGCUGCCCGAAUCUCUUCAGUGAAUUGACGGAAGAUGGAAAGCCACAUGAGCAAUACAUUCCAGAAGCUGUGACAUGUGAUGAAAAGGAACUGUUUAAGGGCAUCAUCUAUGUGGGAACGCUUUAACAAUUUUGAUAAAGUCGUCCUCCAUGCUACAGGAAAAGAUGUACUUCAAUACAUAACAUCAUUCGAAGAAGCCGGCCUGCACCAACUACUACUUCAAAACAUUAAAAAUUCUGGCUACAUAAAACCAACACCUGUUCAAAAGGCUUCAAUUGUAGUUAUUCUUGCCAAAAGAGGUUUAAUUGCUUGUGCGGUCACGGGCUCCGGAAAAACGGUAAUCCAACUAAUUAACGCUGUGUAAUUUUGAAACCUUGAUGCCCUCGUACUGACUUGAUUCGAAUGGGUUGGUAUGAACUGGGUAAGUUGAAGUAAAAGUAAUUUUGAGUGGGCGCGCCGGUGAUUGCGACUACUAAAAGAUCCAAUUGCAUCUAAGAUACUCAACAAACCCUUCGUGAUAUUCGUUGAUUAAGUCAUCUAAAAUUUUACAUUUUUUCAUGCAGGCGGCGUACUUGGUACCGGUUAUGAACAUAUUGUUAGAACAAGGUGUUGUCGGUGCGUCUCAUGCCAUGGGGCAAAAGCCAGAAGUUGUAAUUGUCGCACCCGCUCGUGAAUUGGCCAUUCAAAUUCACCGCGAGGCGUGUAAAUUCUUCCACAGUUCGAUUUGAAAGUCUGAUUAAGAGGAGGAACUCUCACGAGCCAUCAGCGGUCAAAUCUUCAAGCUGGGUGCAAUAUUUUUGUCGCGACCGCGGGGCGAUUCAAUGAUUUUCUCGACCGUGAAGUAUUUGACUUCUCGGGAGUCAGGUUUUAAAUUUUGGACGAAGCUGAUCGAAUGCUGGAUAUGGGUUUCGGUCCGAAUGUUGAAAAAAUUGUCAAUCAUCCAACGAUGCAUCCGAAAGGAAUCCGUUGUGUUUGUAUGUUUUCGGCUACAUUCCCAGAUGACGUGCAAGCGCUGGCUGCGACAUACAUGGAAGACUACAUAUUCGUCACAACAGGCAUUGUCGGUGGCACCAAUCCGGAUGUUGAACAGCUGUUUUUUCAGUGCUCGAAAAGAGAUAAGAGAGCUAAGCUGAUCGAAGUUUUACAAGAUCUCGGUG